rnacentral:tRNA from 1 species
GGAGAGAUGGCUGAGUGGUCGAAAGCGGCAGAUUGCUAAUCUGUUGAUGGUUUUAGGACUAUCCGAGGGUUCGAAUCCCUCUCUCUCCG